AAAAUGACUCUCGACAACGGAUAUCUCGGCUCUCGCAUCGAUGAAGAACGUAGCGAAAUGCGAUACUUGGUGUGAAUUGCAGAAUCCCGUGAACCAUCGAGUCUUUGAACGCAAGUUGCGCCCGAAGCCUUAGGCCGAGGGCACGUCUGCUUGGGUGUCACA
rnacentral:rRNA from 1 species